GCCGCUGAGAUGGGUUGUCUGGCUACUUAAGAAGCAAAUUCUCCAAUGGGAAAACAAUCAAGUCCUUACAUAUCACUUGGCCAUUGAAGGAGAACAGGAUGCUAAUGAGAGUAGUCCAAGGAGAGGUACUUCAAAAGCAAAUCUCCUGAAAUGACAGACCCACAUUAGUGCUGAGGGACUAAGGAGUGGGGAAGGACUGAGUGAACCAGGAGAGCAACCCAGGAGAGCAAGCCCCUGGACACCUACGAGCCUUCCAAGACGGCUGUCUUCUUUGCCUUGAUCACCUGAGAAGAACUCCACAUUCUUACCCAGUGUGGUCUCCUAGGUGACAUUGACUGCUCUUCUCAAAACCAUCACUGCAAGGUUCAGGCGGAACUGUGGGACACUUUCCAGUUUUCAUCCUGGGUGUUUCUGAACAAGAUUAUAUCUCAUUGAAAUAUUUGCACCUCUACCUACAGACAAGGAAAAGGCUUGGAGCACCUCCAUUCAUUGUGCCAACAGGACCUGAAUGACCGGUUGUUUCUUGCUUACUACUUGCAGUCGACUAAGUAGAGGUUCAUAAGACCUUUAUAGAACCACUGAUAC